CGUUUAUUUGAUAGUGCCUUACUACUUGGAUAACCGUGGUAAUUCUAGAGCUAAUACAUGCUAAAAACCCCGACUUCGGAAGGGGUGUAUUUAUUAGAUACAAAACCAAUGCCCUUCGGGGCUCCUUGGUGAUUCAUGAUAACUAUACGAAUCGCACGGCCUUGCGCCGGCGAUGGUUCAUUCAAAUUUCUUCCCUAUCAACUUUCGAUGUUUGGGUAUUGGCCAAACAUGGUUGCAACGGGUAACGGAGGGUUAGGGCUCGACCCCGGAGAAGGAGCCUGAGAAACGGCUACUACAUCCAAGGAAGGCAGCAGGCGCGCAAAUUACCCAAUCCCGACUCGGGGAGGUAGUGACAAUAAAUACUGAUACAGGGCCCUUUCGGGCCUUGUAAUUGGAAUGAGUACAAUUUAAAUCCCUUAACGAGGAACAAUUGGAGGGCAAGUCUGGUGCCAGCAGCCGCGGUAAUUCCAGCUCCAAUAGCGUAUAUUAAAGUUGUUGUGGUUAAAAAGCUCGUAGUUGAACCUUGGGCCUGGCUGGCCGGUCCGCCUCACCGCGUGCACUGGUCCGGCCGGGCCUUUCCCUCUGUGGAACCCCAUACCCUUCACUGGGCGUGGCGGGGAAACAGGACAUUUACUUUGAAAAAAUUAGAGUGCUCCAGGCAGGCCUAUGCUCGAAUACAUUAGCAUGGAAUAAUAAAAUAGGACGCGCGGUUCUAUUUUGUUGGUUUAUAGGACCGCCGUAAUGAUUAAUAGGGACAGUCGGGGGCAUCAGUAUUCAACUGUCAGAGGUGAAAUUCUUGGAUCAGUUGAAGACUAACUACUGCGAAAGCAUUUGCCAAGGAUGUUUUCAUUAAUCAGGAACGAAAGUUAGGGGAUCGAAGACGAUCAGAUACCGUCGUAGUCUUAACCAUAAACUAUGCCGACUAGGGAUCGGACGGUGUUAUUCAUGACCCGUUCGGCACCUUACGAGAAAUCAAAGUGCUUGGGCUCCAGGGGGAGUAUGGUCGCAAGGCUGAAACUUAAAGAAAUUGACGGAAGGGCACCACCAGGGGUGGAGCCUGCGGCUUAAUUUGACUCAACACGGGGAAACUCACCAGGUCCAGACACAAUAAGGAUUGACAGAUUGAGAGCUCUUUCUUGAUUUUGUGGGUGGUGGUGCAUGGCCGUUCUUAGUUGGUGGGGUGACUUGU
rnacentral:rRNA from 1 species